GACGAACGCUGGCGGCGUGCCUAAUACAUGCAAGUUGAGCGCUGAAGGUUGGUACUUGUACCAACUGGAUGAGCAGCGAACGGGUGAGUAACGCGUGGGGAAUCUGCCUUUGAGCGGGGGACAACAUUUGGAAACGAAUGCUAAUACCGCAUAAAAACUUUAAACACAAGUUUUAAGUUUGAAAGAUGCAAUUGCAUCACUCAAAGAUGAUCCCGCGUUGUAUUAGCUAGUUGGUGAGGUAAAGGCUCACCAAGGCGAUGAUACAUAGCCGACCUGAGAGGGUGAUCGGCCACAUUGGGACUGGGACGCGGCCCAAACUCCUACGGGAGGCAGCAGUAGGGAAUCUUCGGCAAUGGACGAAAGUCUGACCGAGCAACGCCGCGUGAGUGAAGAAGGUUUUCGGAUCGUAAAACUCUGUUGGUAGAGAAGAACGUUGGUGAGAGUGGAAAGCUCAUCAAGUGACGGUAACUACCCAGAAAGGGACGGCUAACUACGUG
rnacentral:rRNA from 1 species